rnacentral:misc_RNA from 1 species
GAUGAAGAACGUAGCGAAAUGCGAUAAGUAAUGUGAAUUGCAGAAUUCAGUGAAUCAUCGAAUCUUUGAACGCACCUUGCACCCUUUGGCAUUCCGAAGGGUAUGCUCGUUUGAGUGUCAUUGUACUCUCACACUUCCGAUCUUUGGAUUGGGAGCGGUGGACUUGGGUGUUGCUGCUUACUGUGGCUCACCUCAAAUCGAUUCGUGCACCUCUUGGUUGGACAUAGUACGGCGUGAUAAGUGUCUUCGCCGGCACCUCAGUAGAGGGUGGCUGAUCGGGAGCUCUGCUUCAAAACGUCCUCGGACAACAACUGACAACUUGACCUCAAAUCGAGUAGGACUACCCGCUGAACUUAAGCAUAUCAAUAAGCGGAGGA